ensembl:lncRNA
AGAAGAUGUUUUUCCAUUCUUGGACAUUCCGAGGUAUCACAGGGAAGUGCGGAGUCAACUUUGAGUCAAUGCUCUGGCCUUGCGUGGAUCAAUUCUCUUUAAGGAUCUGUAAUCAAGGCAGCAUCAGCAUCUGACGCAGGCAAAAGGUUAUUAAUUACCGCCGGAGCUGUCAGCUGUAAUGCGGGCAGCAGCUGCACUUCAUUUGGCCCUGAAGACAGCGUGGUACUUAAGGCGGAGGUCUGAGAGCGAUCCCUCCCAAACAUCCGUGUCAUCGGGACACGGGGAACGCUGAGAUAAAGCAGCGGACGGGAAGUCGGCGCACCGGUUAUUCCACUCCUGCUGUUCCCCUCUCCUGACUCCGGCGCAUUGCGAUGGAGCGUGGAAAGAGAUUCCCCUAAGUGACUGUGCUGAAAUUCCACUGCCAUGGCUUGCAGACAUUGGCUGUAGAAGAAGACUGAUUGAAUCCCAGGUGAGGUCCAGAGCGGCCCGUCACCCAAGCCUGCGUUGGUAACGUCAGCAUGCACGGGAUCAUCAGAACCAAAUGAGGCCUUCAGCGCUCUGUCUCGCUCUAUUCCCCGCUGCCCCAUCACAAUCUGGCUCCAUCCUGUGCAGCUGAUCAUCCAGAGGUUGGGGUCAUCUCUCUGUGUAUGUCUGUGUGUGUUUCAGAGUUUGAGGGGGUCGGGAUAUGCAUGUGAUCAAAUGCCUCUAUGUGGUUUAUGUGUGUGUGUGUGUGUGUGUGUGUGUGUGUGUGUGUGUGUGUGUGUGUGUGUGUGUGU